GAGUUUGAUCCUGGCUCAGAGUGAACGCUGGCGGUAGGCCUAACACAUGCAAGUCGAACGGCAGCACAGAGGAGCUUGCUCCUUGGGUGGCGAGUGGCGGACGGGUGAGGAAUACAUCGGAAUCUACUCUGUCGUGGGGGAUAACGUAGGGAAACUUACGCUAAUACCGCAUACGACCUACGGGUGAAAGCAGGGGAUCUUCGGACCUUGCGCGAUUGAAUGAGCCGAUGUCGGAUUAGCUAGUUGGCGGGUAAAGGCCCACCAAGGCGACGAUCCGUAGCUGGUCUGAGAGGAUGAUCAGCCACACUGGAACUGAGACACGGUCCAGACUCCUACGGGAGGCAGCAGUGGGGAAUAUUGGACAAUGGGCGCAAGCCUGAUCCAGCCAUACCGCGUGGGUGAAGAAGGCCUCGGUUGU
rnacentral:rRNA from 1 species